AUGGGAACGCGAAGAACCUUACCUACUCUUGACAUCCAGAGAACUUUCCAGAGAUGGAUUGGUGCCUUCGGGAACUCUGAGACAGGUGCUGCAUGGCUGUCGUCAGCUCGUGUUGUGAAUGUUGGGUUAAGUCCCGCAACGAGCGCAACCCGUUAUCCUUUGUUGCCAGCGGUUAGGCCGGGAACUCAAAGGAGACUGCCAGUGAUAAACUGGAGGAAGGUGGGGAUGACGUCAAGUCAUCAUGGCCCUUACGAGUAGGGCUACACACGUGCUACAAUGGCGCAUACAAAGAGAAGCGACCUCGCGAGAGCAAGCGGACCUCAUAAAGUGCGUCGUAGUCCGGAUUGGAGUCUGCAACUCGACUCCAUGAAGUCGGAAUCGCUAGUAAUCGUAGAUCAGAAUGCUACGGUGAAUACGUUCCCGGGUCUUGUACACACCG
rnacentral:rRNA from 1 species